rnacentral:rRNA from 1 species
UGAGGAAUAUUGGGCAAUGCCCGCAAGGGUGACCCAGCAACGCCGCGUGGAGGAUGAAUGUCGUAAGAUUGUAAACUCCUGUUAGAGGGGAAGAAUAGUACCGGUUGGACCGGUAUAUGACUGUACCCUCAGAGAAAGCCCCGGCUAACUACGUGCCAGCAGCCGCGGUAAUACGUAGGGGGAAAGCGUUGUCCGGAUUUACUGGGUGUAAAGGGCGCGCAGGCGGGAUAAAAAGUCAGUGGUGAAAUCCUACAGCUUAACUGUAGAACUGCCUUUGAUACUUUUAUUCUUGAGUUCGGGAGAGAGAGACGGAAUUCCAGGUGUAGUGGUGAAAUACGUAGAUAUCUGGAAGAACACCAGUUGCGAAGGCGGUCUCUUGGUCCGACACUGACGCUGAGGCGCGAAAGCGUGGGGAGCAAACA